GCACAAGCGGUGGAUGAUGUGGUUUAAUUCGAUGCAACGCGAAAACCUUACCCACCUUUGACAUGUACGGAAGUUGCCAGAGAUGGCUUCGUGCUCGAAAGAGAGCCGUAACACAGGUGCUGCAUGGCUGUCGUCAGCUCGUGUCGUGAGAUGUUGGGUUAAGUCCCGCAACGAGCGCAACCCUUGUCAUUAGUUGCUACGAAAGGGCACUCUAAUGAGACUGCCGGUGACAAACCGGAGGAAGGUGGGGAUGACGUCAAGUCCUCAUGGCCCUUAUAGGUGGGGCUACACACGUCAUACAAUGGCUGGUACAAAGGGCUGCCAACCCGCGAGGGGGAGCCAAUCCCAUAAAGCCAGUCGUAGUCCGGAUCGCAGUCUGCAACUCGACUGCGUGAAGUCGGAAUCGCUAGUAAUCGUGGAUCAGCAUGUCACGGUGAAUACGUUCCCGGGUCUU
rnacentral:rRNA from 1 species